UCUGCUUAGGAUGCUGAUGUAAUCGACGGGCGAAGGAAUCUGGUGAGAAUCCAGAACGGUCGCGCCACUGUGUGAAGUCAGACCCGACGUCAGUCGUCAACACCU
rnacentral:ncRNA from 1 species